rnacentral:lncRNA from 1 species
AAUUCUCAACGUGAACCGGCUACUAGUGCACAGGCGAGGGACAUUUUUAAGGAAAUCGAAGAGGUCUAUAUCUCUGACCCAGACAGCUCGGGGAGGGCGGAUUUGUUUUGGUUGUCACCGCUCGGACAUCCGGGUUGCGGGACUGCCCACUGCAAGGGUCAGAAGAGGCAGUCGUUACAGGGGAUACUCCAGCGGGCAGGCGCAGGAGCAGUCCACAAGUUAGGAGACCACCUACUGUUUCAGUGUAGUCAAGUUGGUCACAUUAGGCGACAGUGCACACAGAGGAGGAAAAUCAGGGAACUUUAGGUCAGAAGGGUCAGAGGACUCAGAGGACGGCUUACGCUAUGAGUUAGCAGCCGGGAGUCGAGACAGCCGGGAGCAACAGUUGGAAUGCCUCUGUUGCGAUGGGUACGUUCCUUACAUUUUGAAAUUUGUAGACUCGAGAUGAUAGAGAAUAUUCUAAAAUUGGGAAUUUAUUUAGGAUGAGUAAAAUGUUAUAUCUAGAUGUGAUGUUAGCGAGAUCAAGGGGGAGAUUAAUCUUUGGUCCUAAGUAUUCAAUAAGGAGAACAUCAGUGGUCUAGUAGAUAUGGUGGAUAGGUAGAACUAAUUGUUUAAUUAGUAUGCAGUCAUAGGGAAGAUAAGGGUUGAAGUUAUUGAUAGGUUGAUUUGUUCUUGUGGCCAUAAUUUUGCCUCUCAUCAUUCUAUCAGACAAAUAAUUUAGUUCGAAACCAAAUUGAAGUUUGAGACAAGUUUGAAUGUGUAGGUUAGACUAAUACCGAAUGAUUGAAGAGUGAUUUCUAGUGGGAAUACCUUGAUUCCAUUUUUUUUUGGGGGAGUGUUUGUGGUGAUUGAUUUUUUUCUCUGUGUGAAGUGCAUGGAUGGUUGGGGAAGUAAAAUUAAUUUAGGUGAGGAUUUCUGAAACAUUGUAGAUCUAAGGAUUUUAAAUUUUCGAUGUGUAACUGAGUUUAUUCAAUUAGAACACUAUGACUUCCAUGUUAUUUGGAAAUGGAUUGUGAUUUGAUUCAAAUGAUUGGGAAAAGGAAUAGCUAUUGGUGUUGACUAGUGUGGUAUUGAAGAUGAUUAUGAUGAUAUAAUUGGUAAGAUAGAGAUUUGGUGGGAUAAUAGGAGACUAAUACUAAGAAAGGUAUGUAGAAAUAAGUACUGAGUACAAGAAGUGUCGAGAACAUUUGAGGAUUGUGAUGUAAACUCCAAAUUAGAUUAAUUGGUUGCAUGUUAAGUAUGGAGGGUUUGUGAGAGCUUUUUGAUAAACUUGUGAACUAAUCCUGAUUGUAGUUGAUACUUGUUUAAUGUAUUGGUUUUACCCUUGAGGAGUUGGAAAAGAAUGUAAGUAAAGUUAUUGUUAUGAUGUUGUGAUAAUAUUGAAAAAGUAUGUUGAAGUGGUGAUUAAAAUGUAAAUUAUAGUUUCUAAUUGAUGUCAUUUUUUUUUAUGCUGGGAGUUUAGAACCGAAUAUGGCUAGUUUCUUUACGCUUGGAAAAAUAUUGUUGGGAAUACAUAUAAGGAGUUUUAUUUUUGAAGAAAAUAGAUUUGAAGUAUUUGAAUGUUGAUGAUCUGUUGGGAAUUGAUUUUGUUUGUUUACGAAGUUAGACGGCAUGAUGGUAAGUGAAAUGUUACACCUUAUGUGGUUGGGGUGAAUUGAGUGAUUGAAGAUGUGAUAUUUGGGGUGAAAAUUUGAAGUGUGAUGGGAGUUUUUUGAUGGCGUUUUAAGUUUGACUUUAUCGUGUUAGACAUGACUGGUUUUGAUGUGAUGAAAUUGGUGGAUUGGAUUGAAAUGUUAGUUUCGAUCAUCGUAGUAAAAAGAGUGAUUAAAUGUUUUGUUUAUCGAGUUGUUACUACGUUAGGAUUUCAUGUCAUUGUUUUUAAAUAAAAUGUUGAGAACUCUAUAAGUGUAUAUUGCGUGAUCUUUAGUCACAGUAAUAGUUUGAGUUUAUCUUUUAACAGUUGUUAGCCCUAUAUAGACAAAGAGGAAUAUAAAAUGUAGUGUUGUCGUUUGGAGACUUUACUUACUAUGUUGGUAGAUUGUCGUUACUUUGGCAGAUUGGGGAAUAGAGUUCGCUAGUUCUUCUUUUUAGUAUGGGUUGUUUAUAACACCUUAAUGGUUUUGCACUACCUACGUUAUAAUUGAUGCGAUUAGCCACUUUUCGAUUUGAUUUAUAGGAUGUUGUGUAAUGGAUGGAGAAUCGGAGGUGAAAUUACAAUUUGUGGAGUGAUGUCGGCAAGUUUUUUGGGUAAUGACAUUUUGGGCCAUCAUUUUUGUGUAUAAAGGAUUCAAGAAGACGUAUCAUGAAUUGUGUCGCCAAUUUUUGUGGAGGCGAAUGAAGAAAGAUGUGUUGUCUUUUUCGUUUAGAAGUGUUUGACUUGUCAACAAGUAAAAAUCGAACACCCGAGACUAGCGAGUUUGUUACAACCAUUCUGGUUGCAAGUGAAUGGAGCAUAUCAUAUGGAUUUCGUUACGGUUGUGCCUAGGUCCUUGGGGGGCAUAGAGUUGGGUUGUGUCAAUCGUUUGACUAAAUUCGCCUACAUUAUCUUCAUAUCCAACUGUCAAAUUCGGCAAGGAUCUUAUGUUCCUUAAGAUUCGGGAGAUCGUUGACUUCAUGGGGUUUUCGGUAUCUAUCGUUUUUGAUAGAGAGUCCGUGUUUUUUACAUUACUCUUUUGAAAGGAAUGCAAAUCCGCUCUUGGAUCAUCUUUGAGGUUUAGGCCACGUCGUUUCAAAAUCCUUAGACCGACGAGCACAUACUAUUCAGAUUUGGAGACAUACUCUUCGGGCAUGCUUACUUAAUUGUGGGAUCGUGGAGAAUCACCUACACUUGUGGAGUUCGCGUGUAACACCAUCGGUUAUCAAUCAGCAUUGGAAUACACCUUUUGAGGCGUAUAAUGAUAGACCAUGUAGGUUACCGAGUGUUAAGACUAACGUUGGAGAGGUUUACGUUGUAAUGCCACAGAGUUUGGAAGGUUCGCGUAAGGUAUCCAGAUCUGUUUACUCAUCUGGUAAGUUUAUCUAAUUUCCGAGGACGAAAGUUCUUUAAAGUGGGGGGGUUGUAAGGGUUCAAAAUUUUUUUUUAGAUAAUUAUAAUUAAUGUGUGAGGUCACACGCCACGUAUAUAUGUGUGUGUAUAUAUAUACACACAUAUAUCGUUAUGGUUUUAGUAUAAUUUGGCCCCAUUUAAAUUUAUGGGUCCAAAUGGGAUUUAAGUGGAUUUGAAUUGGGUUUGAAAGAAAUGUGUGAGAAAAAAUGGGCCAAAUGAUUGGACGCCAAGAUUGGUUGUGGUUUGGGUUUUGUUGGUUGGCAAACAAAGUCCCAAGGCCUAAGGAGGGCAUUUAAUGUCUUUUCUCACUUUUGACCCUAAACAUCAAUUAAUGUUAGCAGUUAUUUUAUUUUUUGGGCUCUUCUCUUCCUUUCUUCUCUUUCUAAAGUUUGAAGCCAAGAGGGUUUUGGCAUGAAGCUUAAUUAGGGUGAGUGAGGUGUGAUUUGAGUAGUGAUUCUGAGAGAAAUUUUCACUCGACAGGGGCUUCGAUUUGAGCCACGGAAAGUUUGAAAUGGAAGCUAGUAGAGUGUUGAGGCUUAUCUCAUCUCUUCACCAUUUUUAGAGUUUGCAUUGCUUGGAUUUGAGUAAAUGGGUUUUCCUGUGGGGUGCCUCUUGGGUUUGUUGUAAAGAUUCUAUGAAGUCUAUUAAUAUAUUUAUUUUGGGUAUAGAAUCCUAAAUGAGAAACUUGGUUUAGAUUGAAAAGUUUGGAGUUCGUGGUCCUUGGUGUCGACAUCUUUGAAAGGUGAAUGUGAGAAAUUUGGCUACUGAUAUUUGGUGUAAAAUUGGCGUUUUGGCUACUGACAUUUGGUGUUGACAAUGGUGUCGACACCUUGAACAGGAAAUUCAAAAAUUUUGGCUACUGACAUUUAGUGUCGACACCAAAUUUUCAGGUGUCGACACCUAAAAUUUUUUUAACAGUAAAAAAAAUAAAAAAAAUAAAACAAAAUUAUUAUUAUUAUUUUUUUAAAAUGGUUUCACUUCGAGCAUGACUAUAUUUUGUAUAUUUUAUUGUUGCAUUUAUUCUUGAUAAAUGUAAUAUUUGUAUGUGGAAUUUGGAAUUUAUUUGGAGGAAUGAGUUGGCUAAAGUUUUUAAAAGUAAAUGCAUUUAAAUGGUUUCAAUGAUGGUUUACAUUGAUAGAAUUGGUAAUUGCAUAUUAUGUUGAUGCAUUGUGACUUUGGACAAACGCAAUCUUUAUGAAUGUUGAGAUUUGUAAAUGGUUUUGAGAAUGGUUUACGUGGAAAUGAUUUUGAGAACGAUUAAGGGAAAUGAUUUGAGAAUGGUUUAACGAGGAAAUGGUUUUUGAGAGGACCGCUGGAUUAUACCGGAAAAAAAACCGCACGAGAGGCCCAGAUAAUGUUGUGUGGAUAAUGGGUUUGUCAAACCUUCGGUGAAAGUCCGAGAAGUAGGCUGGAUAUUGGGUAUGUAAAACCUUCGUGGAAAGUCCGAGAAGAAAGUGCUAGAUGGCAAAUGCGCAAUAUGGGAAUGUUGACCCUUUCGGUGAAAGUCGAGGGAAUGCGAGGAAUGAGGGAAUGUCAUAGCCCACGGUUGAAAGUCAGGCGAAGUGACUAGAUGUUGUCUCAAAAUGCUUAAGCAUAACCGGUGGGAUAGGUAUUAGCCCUAGGUGUGUCAUUCCAAGCUAUUGAAUAAUUACCUUUUGGAAAAAUACAUAAGUUGGAAUUUGAUAAAUUCUAAGAUGAGAUUAUUGUUUUUCGAGAAAGCCUGAGGGUUAGUGAAAUAUUAAUUUGAAAAUCAGAUUUGAAUAGUUUGUUGUUUAAAGUGAUAAAAAGGUUUUUAGAGAAAAGCCGGAUGUUUUGUGAAAAAUCACAGAUUGAAAAAUCAAAAGUAUAUUGUGAUAUGAAUGAAAAACAUAUUUUGUGUAUCAUGUUUUCAUUGUGUAGCUAUGUAUCAUGGUUUUGGCUUGAGUAUCAAGUACAUGUUAAAUUUUUCAAGGUA